rnacentral:rRNA from 1 species
UACGUAGGGUGCGAGCGUUAAUCGGAAUUACUGGGCGUAAAGCGUGCGCAGGCGGUUUUGUAAGCCAGAUGUGAAAUCCCCGGGCUUAACCUGGGAAUGGCAUUUGGGACUGCAAGGCUGGAGUGUGGCAGAGGAGACUGGAAUUCCCGGUGUAGCAGUGAAAUGCGUAGAUAUCGGGAGGAAUACCGAUGGCGAAGGCAGGUCUCUGGGCUGACACUGACGCUCAUGCACGAAAGCGUGGGAAGCAAACAGG